GCGAGACGUCUCAGGGACACCCACGUGCACAACCUGCUGAGCAGCUUGAAGGCGGUCAAGUCUCACGGCCUGGAGGUGGCGAACUUACGGUCGGAAGUGGCGGGGCUGAGGCGAGCCCUCGAGAUUUCGCAGACACGACUGCGGUUGGUCGAGGAAGAGGUCGUGAACAAGGAAGAGGUUAUAAUGUUGAUGACGAAGUCGGCCAAAGUUCACGACUCCAUGAUCAGAGAACGCGAAAACAGGAUUCGUGCUUGUGAAAAUGAAAUUGCCAGCAACGAGGAUACAAUAAAAAAUCUUACUAUUUCUCUGGCGGACCAAACGAAGUGGAACCGGGACCUCCGGGAGAUCGUGACGAGCACGCGGCAACAGCUGCAGGAGCUGUGAGGCCGAGAAGCCGUGCCAGGCGGCGCAUGCGCGCGAGUGUGUGUGUGGCCAUACGGUGCUCCAGACAACCUUGCCACUUUCCGACCACCGCUGUACGCUUUACCUCCGGUCGGGAGGCAGUUUUAUUCAAACACAAAAAUAUUGUGACUUAGAGACGUGAGUGGAGAAACGUAACCACGUAUUUAUAUGGAAAAAUUUCCUUUUUUUUUUUUCAUUACGAGGUUGAAGUUUGUGAUACAAUAAUUUAUUUUCUGCGGAUUGGCAGAUACUGUUCAAACAAAAAAAAAUUGUUCAUAACAGUUGGUAGAGUGUAGCAUGGGUCCUACCUAGCUCUCAAAUAUUAAGUGAACUAUUAGGUAUGUUGGAAAGAAAGACAAAAAUGUAUGUUUUAUUUCCUUUCCUUGAAAUAAAAACAUCUCUAAUUGAAACCCGGGGCUUUCUUCAGUUUGUUCGUUUGAUAGAGCAACGUUGGAAGACCUUCUUGGCUUUUACACGUAAUUAUUAAAAGAAUAAAUAUUGUGUUUCCUCAAUACUGCUUUAUAUCAGCUGAUUAUUUGCUGCAAGUUCAUAGUGACCUAGUUUUUAACAUACUUUUGUUUUAUUAUGUGCAAUAUUAUUGUAAUUAAUCUUAGUCUUCAAGUGUUUUAUUUUGAAAAGCCUCUUGACUAUACAUAUAUUUUUAUUGGCUUUCACUUUGCUGGCUUGGGUAUUAUUUGUGUUAAGUGUGAGUUUCAGUAUUCAUUGCAAUUAAAUGUUAUUUUUUUUAAUAUAAUUUUUCCUAUGCAUUUUAUAGUGGUUUCAAAACAGUGAGGAUUGUGUCGAAAUUAUAAAAUAAUCACACAUAAAAGCAAACAGAGUGGCACCUUUUGAUGUUUUUUUAAGUAACCAACUUUAUUCAAAGGGAAAAAAAAACCUAAAUAUUUUCAUGAAUGAAUCUUUGGCUUGAAGUGUUUUAAAGCUAAGCAACAAAUGGGAAGAUUCACAUCAAGAACGAAUAGCAUAUUUCCUGGAUGAGUCAAAUGAAAUAUUAAAAAGAGCUUCGGUUGAUUAGCUUAGUGGAAGCUUCGCACAGGCCUAGUUAGCGGCAUCGUACUUUGACCUUACAGCCCCUCGACUUUUCGUCGACAAAGUGUUACGGUUGUGCGCCGCUACGGUCUUAGUAACCCGAGGAGACACUAGAGUUGUCAUAAAAAUGUAGUCUGCACACGCCUCUUUCACUUGCAUCCUAACCCCGUUUGAUUCUUUUAAAUGAUUUUAAAAAAUGUGACAAGAUCAUUGUCAUUAGAAAUGAGAUUCCAUGGUUUCAUUUUCAG